rnacentral:hammerhead_ribozyme from 1 species
AUCCAACUGACGAGUCCCAAACGAGAUGAAACACGCUUCCCGGAU